GCCCAUGUAGCUCAGUGGUAGAGCACUCCCUUGGUAAGGGAGAGGUCGGCAGUCCGAUCCUGCCCAUGGGCACCA
rnacentral:tRNA from 1 species